UCUCACUCUCGUCACCCAGGCUGGAGUGCAGUGGUACGACCUUGGCUUACUUCGGCCUCCACCUCCCAGAUUCAAUUAUGGAUGCUCACAUGUGCAAAGUUAAAGGGCCACAUCUGGUGAGGGCUUUCUUGCUGGUGAGGAUUCUCUGAAGAGUAUUGAGGCAGCAGAGGACAUCACAUGACAGAUUUCUUCCGAGUCACCGGUGGGAGCUUCCCAGGGAGAUGCGGCUUUAUUCCCUCAUGGCAGACAGGAGGAGGAUGCUGAGCGGGAGCUGAUGCCACCUGGCAGCAAUGGUGGCACAGACUGCUGGAGAGGCACAGAUUGGAACCCAAGCCUCAUCAGACGGCAGCUGUGACAGCGGCAUAUUUCAAAAAUGUAUUGCAAAUUUCACACAAGGGGUCUUUAAAAAAAUUUGAAAGUCUCCUUGGCUUUCACAGACUUUUAAUUAAGAGAGAACUCCUCUUCUUUGAAAAUCAAAACACUUUUUGCCUAUUUUAUGUAUCUAAAGGUAGAUGGGAACUUACAGCCACAUUUAAAAAAUUUGCAGUUGAUUAUGUGGUUUUCAAAUUUAAUAACCUACUAUGAAUAAUUAACUCAACAAGAAGAAAAGGGCACAUUGGCACCUCACAAUUAAAAGAGUAAGAGUGAAAUUAU
rnacentral:lncRNA from 10 species